UCUUCGAUACCGUUUAUACUCACGAUCUUGUAUCCACUGACUGUCUUGUUAGAUUAACCCAAUAAAUUUCAUUCACUCCGCAUACUCAAUCCUAUAGACAUCCUUUUAAUUCUUCAAUCACAGACGUAACUCGAUUUCACAAAACAGUCAAGAGUAAUCAAACCCACUUCAUUAAAAAAAAUCCCGAUUCACCAUUACAACACUGACUUCAGCAACGAUUGCCUCAGUCUUCCCAAAACUCUAUGAAGAAGAAAAAUCUAAUUCU
rnacentral:lncRNA from 1 species